rnacentral:lncRNA from 1 species
UUAGGGUGUUCCAUGUUAUUGCUUAUGUGUUAACUACUCCCCCCUUAAAUCAUCUCCGUCCUCGGCGAUACCUAUCUCUCUGAUGACCUUUUGCAACUUGAUUGAGGAGUUCCUUCGACUCCAGCAUUGAUGCAACAGGAUAAGGCCACAGAGCUUGAGGCUGACCGCAAUGAACCAGGUCUUGGGUGACCCACCGGAUUGUCAUGUCGCUUCUAAGUUCUUGGAUGGCCCUUAGAUUGUGCUCGUUCAUCGAUUGUAGUCGUGGUAGGCUUAGGAUUUCACCGUGCCCCGUUAUUGACAGCAAAGGCGAAGCUACGAUUCCUGGAACUUUCCUCAAUGCUUUGUUGAGGUUUAAGAACAGGGUGCUAUUGAUCACGGUUCUGUCUUCGAACGUGAUGAGGUGGGCCUCUCUUGUCGUCCUUAGGGGUCCAUUGUCAACGCUGACCGUUGCUCGCUGCCCAUUUAUGAUGAUUAUGCCAUCGUCCACUACUACAGCAUUGAUGCAACAGGAUGGUGGUGGCCAGGUGGCUGGGUUGCGUGCGUCAUGAAGCAGAGCCGCCGGCGU